UGUACUUGCCUGGAGGCAGAGUCAGCAUUCAAAGUCAGGUCCAGUCCUAGGGUCGGGCAAACAGCAAUCCACAUGCUCACACGGUCCAGGGGUCAGGGAAUCCAAGGAUCAAGGGCCUAAACAAGCAGGAAGCAGCAAGGUAAGGUCAAGGACUACAAGCAUUGAUUCCAGCAUUUGACUGCUGCUGGAAGCUUUGCAUAAGAAGGCUGAAGCCUGCUGGUUCCCAUCAGCGCCUUCUCCUCUGUGUCCUUAAAGGCUCAUCAGCUACAGGUGGAGUCACUCCCUCUUCUCCCCCUUCAGGCUGCUGUUCAGCAGGUGAAUGACUCCAUGACAAGAGGUCUCUCCCAGCCUAUGUGAAAAUGCCAGGGACUGAACCUGGGACAAGCAAAGCAGAUGCUGGACCACUGACCUUCAACCCUCCCCUAAGGGACACAGCAGGUGCACCAACUCUAUGGGGCUGAGGCUUCUACAACCCCCCAAUGUCCACUGGCAUGGGGAUCACCCCCCCCCCCAAUCUUGAGGGGGCAAAGGAGACCCGAUUGGAUGUUGCCCUGGGCCAUCCAGCAUUGGGAGAUGAUGCAUGGACCAGCAUAGCCUGGUGCACAAAUGUAGCAUGGGAGGAGGUCUGGCUGGCCUCUCCUGAUGUGAGAGUCAUCAUGCAUGUAACGUGCAAUGCAAGUUACAUCAAACGCACAUGACAUGAACUGUACAUGUGAUGUCUCUCUCUCUCUCUCUCUCUCUCUCUCACACACACACACACACACACACACACAAUUCUAGGUGCAACUCAGCACCUGUGGGGCACAGCAUCUCCUAGCUUCUUCCAUCUAGGAUUGUGGCCCAGAGUCUAUUAUAUGGUAUUUCUCAAAGCACAAAAGAAGUGCAACAUGGGUCACUAGGAUGCCAUUGAGUGGGUGCAUAAAGAUCAAGGAGUGUGAUAUGAACCUCUGAAUGUGGCCUUAGAGGCAUGCACACCAAUUGUGCACAAAAGUACGAUUUGUUUAAGCCACCUAACUUCUGUGAAGCUUCCAUUCAAGGAUGCGAACGUGGAAGAAUAAAUCAGUAGCAGCUCUCCACCAUGACCUUGAUACUACAAAUCCUGACGAUUUUCUACGAGUGUUCUGGGGAAACUACUCUCCGCUGCGCUGAAUAGCUGGGCGAUCUGUUAUGCAUUGGCAGAAAGCAGAAUUGAAUUCAGAGUGCCUGAACUGAAUCGGAUGUACUAUAAGCAAUUAAAAUAACACAAAUC